rnacentral:rRNA from 1 species
GAUGAACGCUGGCGGCGUGCCUAAUACAUGCCAGUCGAGCGAACAGACGAGGAGCUUGCUCCUCUGACGUUAGCGGCGGACGGGUGAGUAACACGUGGAUAACCUACCUAUAAGAAUGGGAUAACUUAGGGAAACAGGAGAUAAUACAGGAUAAUAUAUUGAACCGCAUGGUUCAAUAGUGAAAGACGGUUUUGCUGUCACUUAUAGAUGGAUCCGCGGCGCAUUAGCUAGUUGGUAAGGUAACGGCUUACCAAGGCAACGAUGCGUAGCCGACCUGAGAGGGUGAUCGGCCACACUGGAACUGAGACACGGUCCAGACUCCUACGGGAGGCAGCAGUAGGGAAUCUUCCGCAAUGGGCGAAAGCCUGACGGAGCAACGCCGCGUGAGUGAUGAAGGUCUUCGGAUCGUAAAACUCUGUUAUUAGGGAAGAACAAUUGUUUAAGUAACUAUGCACGUCUUGACGGUACCUAAUCAGAAAGCCACGGCUAACUACGUG